AAGCUGGAAUUGCUAGUAAUCACAGGUCAGCAUACUGUGGUGAAUACGUUCCCGGGCCUUGUACACACCGCCCGUCACACCAUGAGAGUUGAGAAUACCCGAAGUCCAUGUCAAAGUGGCCGAAGGUAGGCUUGAUGAUUGGGGUGAAGUCGUAACAAGGUAAC
rnacentral:rRNA from 1 species